rnacentral:rRNA from 1 species
GCGGUGCUAAUACAUGCAAGUCGAACGAACUCUGGUAUUGAUUGGUGCUUGCAUCAUGAUUUACAUUUGAGUGAGUGGCGAACUGGUGAGUAACACGUGGGAAACCUGCCCAGAAGCGGGGGAUAACACCUGGAAACAGAUGCUAAUACCGCAUAACAACUUGGACCGCAUGGUCCGAGUUUGAAAGAUGGCUUCGGCUAUCACUUUUGGAUGGUCCCGCGGCGUAUUAGCUAGAUGGUGGGGUAACGGCUCACCAUGGCAAUGAUACGUAGCCGACCUGAGAGGGUAAUCGGCCACAUUGGGACUGAGACACGGCCCAAACUCCUACGGGAGGCAGCAGUAGGGAAUCUUCCACAAUGGACGAAAGUCUGAUGGAGCAACGCCGCGUGAGUGAAGAAGGGUUUCGGCUCGUAAAACUCUGUUGUUAAAGAAGAACAUAUCUGAGAGUAACUGUUCAGGUAUUGACGGUAUUUAACCAGAAAGCCACGGCUAACUACGUGCCAGCAGCCGCGGUAAUACGUAGGUGGCAAGCGUUGUCCGGAUUUAUUGGGCGUAAAGCGAGCGCAGGCGGUUUUUUAAGUCUGAUGUGAAAGCCUUCGGCUCAACCGAAGAAGUGCAUCGGAAACUGGGAAACUUGAGUGCAGAAGAGGACAGUGGAACUCCAUGUGUAGCGGUGAAAUGCGUAGAUAUAUGGAAGAACACCAGUGGCGAAGGCGGCUGUCUGGUCUGUAACUGACGCUGAGGCUCGAAAGUAUGGGUAGCAAACAGGAUUAGAUACCCUGGUAGUCCAUACCGUAAACGAUGAAUGCUAAGUGUUGGAGGGUUUCCGCCCUUCAGUGCUGCAGCUAACGCAUUAAGCAUUCCGCCUGGGGAGUACGGCCGCAAGGCUGAAACUCAAAGGAAUUGACGGGGGCCCGCACAAGCGGUGGAGCAUGUGGUUUAAUUCGAAGCUACGCGAAGAACCUUACCAGGUCUUGACAUACUAUGCAAAUCUAAGAGAUUAGACGUUCCCUUCGGGGACAUGGAUACAGGUGGUGCAUGGUUGUCGUCAGCUCGUGUCGUGAGAUGUUGGGUUAAGUCCCGCAACGAGCGCAACCCUUAUUAUCAGUUGCCAGCAUUAAGUUGGGCACUCUGGUGAGACUGCCGGUGACAAACCGGAGGAAGGUGGGGAUGACGUCAAAUCAUCAUGCCCCUUAUGACCUGGGCUACACACGUGCUACAAUGGAUGGUACAACGAGUUGCGAACUCGCGAGAGUAAGCUAAUCUCUUAAAGCCAUUCUCAGUUCGGAUUGUAGGCUGCAACUCGCCUACAUGAAGUCGGAAUCGCUAGUAAUCGCGGAUCAGCAGCCGU